AAACUGGGGUUAAUUCCCGAUGGGUGAGGAGGCCUGGAAUGGUUCUUCACUGAAAGGGCGCUAGAGGCAUGCUCUCUAACGUUGCCCAAGGAUGGGGCCGCGGCCGAUCAGGUUGUUGGUGAGGUAACGGCUUACCAAGCCUAUAACCGGUACGGGCCGUGAGAGCGGAAGCCCGGAGAUGGGCACUGAGAUAAGGGCCCAGGCCCUACGGGGCGCAGCAGUUGCGAAAACUCCGCAAUGCACGAAAGUGUGACGGGGCUACCCCGAGUGCCGUCCGCUGAGGAUGGCUUUUCUCCGCUGUAAGGAGGCGGAGGAAUAAGGAGAGGGCAAGACUGGUGUCAGCCGCCGCGGUAAUACCAGCUCUCCGAGUGGUAGGGGUGAUUAUUGGGCUUAAAGCGUCCGUAGCCGGCCUGGCAAGUCUNCCGUUAAAUCCAGCAACCUAAUUGUUGGGCUGCGGGGGAUACUGUUAGGCUUGGGGGCGGGAGAGGCCGACGGUAUUCUCGGGGUAGGGGUGAAAUCUUAUAAUCCCGAGAGGACCACCAGUGGCGAAGGCUGUCGGCUAGCACGCGCCUGACGGUGAGGGACGAAAGCUGGGGGAGCGAACCGGAUUAGAUACCCGGGUAGUCCCUGCUGUAAACGAUGCGAGCUAGGUGUUGGGGCGGCUACGAGCCGCUUCAGUGCCGCAGCGAAGGCGUUAAGCUCGCCGCCUGGGGAGUACGGCCGCAAGGCUGAAACUUAAAGGAAUUGGCGGGGGAGCACCACAAGGCGUGAAGCUUGCGGUUCAAUUGGAGUCAACGCCGGGAACCUUACCGGGGGCGACAGCAGGAUGAAGGCCAGGUUGAUGGUCUUGCUGGACGAGCUGAGAGGAGGCGCAUGGCCGUCGUCAGUUCGUGCCGUGAGGUGUCCUCUUAAGUAAGGUAACGAUCGAGACCCGCACCCCUUGUUGCUAACAGACUCCAUCGGGGUCUGUGCACACUAGGGGGACCGCCGUCGAUAAGACGGAGGAAGGAGCGGGCCACGGCAGGUCAGUAUGCCCCGAAUCCCCCGGGCCACACGCGAGCUGCAAUGGCAGGGACAAUGGGUGUCGACUCCGAAAGGAGGAGGUAAUCUCUAAACCCUGCCUCAGUUGGGAUCGAGGGCUGAAACCCGUCCUCGUGAAUAUGGAAUGCCUAGUAAUCGCGCGUCAUCAUCGCGCGGUGAAUACGUCCCCGCUCCUUGCACACACCGCCCGUCGUUCCAUCCGAGUGGGGUUUGGGUGAGGCGUAGUCCUUGGUGGCUGCGUCGAACUCAGGUUCCGCAAGGAGGG
rnacentral:rRNA from 1 species